rnacentral:rRNA from 1 species
GGCGAACGGGUGAGUAACACGUGGGUGAUCUGCCCUGCACUUUGGGAUAAGCCUGGGAAACUGGGUCUAAUACCGGAUAGGACUACGCACUGCAUGGUGUGUGGUGGAAAGCUUUUGCGGUGUGGGAUGGGCCCGCGGCCUAUCAGCUUGUUGGUGGGGUGAUGGCCUACCAAGGCGACGACGGGUAGCCGGCCUGAGAGGGUGACCGGCCACACUGGGACUGAGAUACGGCCCAGACUCCUACGGGAGGCAGCAGUGGGGAAUAUUGCACAAUGGGCGCAAGCCUGAUGCAGCGACGCCGCGUGAGGGAUGACGGCCUUCGGGUUGUAAACCUCUUUCGCCAGGGACGAAGCGCAAGUGACGGUACCUGGAGAAGAAGGACCGGCCAACUACGUGCCAGCAGCCGCGGUAAUACGUAGGGUCCGAGCGUUGUCCGGAAUUACUGGGCGUAAAGAGCUCGUAGGUGGUUUGUCGCGUUGUUCGUGAAAACUCACAGCUUAACUGUGGGCGUGCGGGCGAUACGGGCAGACUGGAGUACUGCAGGGGAGACUGGAAUUCCUGGUGUAGCGGUGGAAUGCGCAGAUAUCAGGAGGAACACCGGUGGCGAAGGCGGGUCUCUGGGCAGUAACUGACGCUGAGGAGCGAAAGCGUGGGGAGCGAACAGGAUUAGAUACCCUGGUAGUCCACGCCGUAAACGGUGGGUACUAGGUGUGGGUUUCCUUCCUUGGGAUCCGUGCCGUACCUAACGCAUUAAGUACCCCGCCUGGGGAGUACGGCCGCAAGGCUAAAACUCAAAGGAAUUGACGGGGGCCCGCACAAGCGGCGGAGCAUGUGG